UACGUAGGGGGGCAAGCGUUUGUCCGGAUUUAUUGGGCGUAAAGAGCGUGUAGGCGGCCAUACAGGUCCGUUGUGAAAACUGGAGGCUUAACCUCCAGACGUCGAUGGAAACCGUAUGGCUAGAGUCCGGAAGAGGAGAGUGGAAUUCCUGGUGUAGCGGUGAAAUGCGCAGAUAUCAGGAAGAACACCCGUGGCGAAGGCGGCUCUCUGGGACGGUACUGACGCUGAGACGCGAAAGCGUGGGGAGCGAACAGG
rnacentral:rRNA from 1 species